GCCUCUGUGGAUCAGUGUAGAUCGCCUCGAGAUUGUAUAACGGCACCUGAGAGAUUAACGAGGAGAGGUGGGUUCGAAUCCCACCGGAGGCG